rnacentral:rRNA from 1 species
GCGAGUGAAGCGGCAACAGCUCAAAUUUGAAAUCUGGCCUCGGCCCGAGUUGUAAUUUGCAGAGGAUGUUUCUGGCGCGGUGCCUUCCGAGUUCCCUGGAACGGGACGCCACAGAGGGUGAGAGCCCCGUAUGGUUGGACACCAAGCCUGUGUGAAACUCCUUCGACGAGUCGAGUAGUUUGGGAAUGCUGCUCAAAAUGGGAGGUAAAUCUCUUCUAAAGCUAAAUACCGGCCAGAGACCGAUAGCGCACAAGUAGAGUGAUCGAAAGAUGAAAAGCACCUUGAAAAGGGGGUUAAACAGUACGUGAAAUUGUUGAAAGGGAAGCACUUGUGACCAGACUUGUGCCGGGCGGCUCAUCCGGGGUUCUCCCCCGGUGCACUCCGCCCGGUAUAGGCCAGCAUCGGUUCUUUCUGGGGGAUAAGAACGGUGGGAACGUGGCCCUCCCUCGGGAGGGUGUUAUAGCCCGCCGUACGAUACCCUGGAGGGGACCGAGGUUCGCGCUCCGCAAGGAUGCUGGCGUAAUGGUCACCAGUGACCCGUCUUGAAACACGGACCAAGGAGUCGUCCAUUAGAGCGAGCGUUUGGGUGUAAAACCCGCACGCGUAAUGAAAGUGAAAUUAGGUGAGAGCUUCGGCGCAUCAUCGACCGAUCCUGAUGUUCUCGGACGGAUUUGAGUAAGAGUUUUAACGGACGGACCCGAAAGACAGUGAACUAUGCUUGUAUAGGGUGAAGCCAGAGGAAACUCUGGUGGAGGCUCGCAGCGGUUCUGACGUGCAAAUCGAUCGUCAAAUAUGAGCAUGGGGGCGAAAG